UACGGGGGGGCAAGCGUUGUUCGGAAUUACUGGGCGUAAAGGGCUCGUAGGCGGCCAACUAAGUCAGACGUGAAAUCCCUCGGCUUAACCGGGGAACUGCGUCUGAUACUGGAUGGCUUGAAUCCGGGAGAGGGAUGCGGAAUUCCAGGUGUAGCGGUGAAAUGCGUAGAUAUCUGGAGGAACACCGGUGGCGAGGGCGGCAUCCUGGACCGGCAUUGACGCUGAGGAGCGAAAGCCAGGGAGCAAAGCGGG
rnacentral:rRNA from 1 species